CUACGGGAGGCAGCAGUGGGGAAUUUUCCGCAAUGGGCGAAAGCCUGACGGAGCAAUACCGCGUGAGGGAGGAAGGCUCUUGGGUUGUAAACCUCUUUUCUCAGGGAAGAACAAAAUGACGGUACCUGAGGAAUAAGCAUCGGCUAACUCCGUGCCAGCAGCCGCGGUAAUACGGAGGAUGCAAGCGUUAUCCGGAAUUAUUGGGCGUAAAGCGUCCGCAGGUGGCAGUUCAAGUCUGCUGUCAAAGGUCAGGGCUCAACCCUGAACAGGCAGUGGAAACUGAACAGCUAGAGUGCGGUAGGGGCAGAGGGAAUUCCCAGUGUAGCGGUGAAAUGCGUAGAGAUUGGGGAGAACACCGGUGGCGAAAGCGCUCUGCUAGGCCUGCACUGACACUCAGGGACGAAAGCUAGGGGAGCGAAUGGGAUUAGAUACCCCAGUAGUCCUAGCCGUAAACGAUGGAUACUAGGCGUAGCUUGUAUCGACCCAAGCUGUGCCGUAGCUAACGCGUUAAGUAUCCCGCCUGGGGAGUACGCGCGCAAGCGUGAAACUCAAAGGAAUUGACGG
rnacentral:rRNA from 1 species